UACGGGGGGAGCAAGCGUUGUUCGGAUUUACUGGGCGUAAAGGGCGCGUAGGCGGCCACCGCAAGUCGACUGUGAAAUCUCCGGGCUUAACUCGGAAAGGUCAGCCGAUACUGCGGGGCUAGAGUGCAGAAGGGGCAACUGGAAUUCUCGGUGUAGCGGUGAAAUGCGCAGAUAUCUGGAGGAACACCGGUGGCGAAGGCGGCAUUCUGGACCGAUAUUGACGCUGAGGAGCGAAAGCCAGGGGAGCAAACGGG
rnacentral:rRNA from 1 species